rnacentral:rRNA from 1 species
GUCAAGUCAUCAUGGCCCUUACGCCCAGGGCGACACACGUGCUACAAUGGCCGGCACAGAGGGCUGCGAACUCGCGAGAGGGAGCGAAUCCCCCAAAGCCGGUCCAAGUUCGGAUCGCAGUCUGCAACUCGACUGCGUGAAGCCGGAAUCGCUAGUAAUCGCGGAUCAGCCAUGCCGCGGUGAAUACGUUCCCGGGCCUU